UAAGACAAAGUUUUCUUGUUCUGUACAUCUUAUACCUGUGAUUAUCGCAUUUCUGGAAUCAUCAGUGUGCGCCUAUUCGGGAUACGAUAUUAAAGCGUAAAUGAUAAAAUGACAUAUAAUGAAUGAAAUUUUUAACACUUCCUUCUUAUUUAAUACUCCACCUUACCAAUGCGUCUCAAUAAAUUUCAUACUACAAUAACUAUAGAUUAACCAUGGCCAUUUAUUACAACAUAUUUCAUUCCUGAACAUAAACUAUGGUACAGCAAAUUUGAUGACCAAAAGGCACCAAAAUAGGUAUUCAUAUACCCCUAAAUAGAGUAGUUUGCCAUUCAAGAUGUAGUACGUAACAACCAAUGGGCUUUAAUGGUUGCAUUACACCACACAGACAAGCAUGUAUAUCCAGCAUUUAGACGGGCACGAAAUUUAUUGAACGGAGCUCUGGCUAGAGACCUCCAGUCCAUUCCCUGCAGAGCAAUAAUUCAAUGGAACAAAUUAAAACCGUGAUUCUAAUGUUUUUGGACAUUGAAUACAAUCAAAUCUGUUUCUUGGGCUACGACAGUCUAGAACCAA
rnacentral:lncRNA from 1 species